rnacentral:tRNA from 1 species
GUGUUUACGUCAAAAUUACGUCAAAUUAAAUUAAGUCAUUGUUUUUACUUGAAAGAUACUACGUUGACAUCGUAGAGGUCACCAGUUCGAAUCUGGUUAAACCUACCA